AAGGAGUCUAACAUAUGUGCAAGUUAUGGGUGGGCAAACUUAUAGACAUAAUGAAAGCAAGCGCUGGUAUCAAACUAGAGUCAAGCUCAACAAAGUCUUCUUUCCCCGCUGAUUGUCCCAAGCCCGUUCCAUUGGCUGUGGUUUCGCUAGAUAGUAGAUAGGGAAAGUGGGAAUCUUGUUAAUCCAUUCAUGCGCGUCGCUAAUUAAAUGACGGGGCAUCAUUGCACUAGCAUCUGACCAAGUGACAGUAAAAGGUUUGAGUUAGAACAUAUGCGUUAGGACCCGACUGAUGGUGAACUAUGCCUGAGAAAAGUGAAUUCAGUGGAAACUCUGAUGGAGGCUUGUAGCGGUACCGACGUGCAAUUCGUUCGUCAUACUUGAAUAUAGGGGCGGAAGACUAAUCGAACCAUCUAGUUGCUGGUUCCCUC
rnacentral:misc_RNA from 1 species